GAGGGGCCCGCGCCUGAUUAGCUAGUUGGUGAGGUAACGGCUCACCAAGGCGACGAUCAGUAGCCGGCCUGAGAGGGCGGACGGCCACACUGGGACUGAGACACGGCCCAGACUCCUACGGGAGGCAGCAGUGGGGAAUUGUUCGCAAUGGGCGCAAGCCUGACGACGCAACGCCGCGUGGAGGACGAAGAUCUUCGGGUCGUAAACUCCUGUCGAGCGGGACGAACGCCUUGCGGGUGAAUAACUCGUGAGGGUGACGGUACCGCUAAAGGAAGCCCCGGCUAACUCCGUGCCAGCAGCCGCGGUAAUACGGGGGGGGCAAGCGUUGUUCGGAAUUACUGGGCGUAAAGGGCUCGUAGGUGGCCAACUAAGUCAGACGUGAAAUCCCCAGGCUCAACUUGGGAACUGCGUCUGAUACUGGAUGGCUUGAAUUCGGGAGAGGGAUGCAGAAUUCCAGGUGUAGCGGUGAAAUGCGUAGAUAUCUGGAGG
rnacentral:rRNA from 1 species